rnacentral:rRNA from 1 species
AGCGAACGCUGGCGGCAGGCCUAACACAUGCAAGUCGAACGAACCUUUCGGGGUUAGUGGCGGACGGGUGAGUAACACGUGGGAACGUGCCUUUAGGUUCGGAAUAACUCAGGGAAACUUGUGCCAAUACCGAAUGUGCCCUUCGGGGGAAAGAUUUAUCGCCUUUAGAGCGGCCCGCGUCUGAUUAGCUUGUUGGUGGGGUAAUGGCCCACCAAGGCGACGAUCAGUAGCUGGUCUGAGAGGAUGACCAGCCACAUUGGGACUGAGACACGGCCCAAACUCCUACGGGAGGCAGCAGUGGGGAAUCUUGCGCAAUGGGCGAAAGCCUGACGCAGCCAUGCCGCGUGGAUGAUGAAGGUCUUAGGAUUGUAAAAUCCUUUCACCGGUGAAGAUAAUGACUGUAGCCGGAGAAGAAGCCCCGGCUAACUUCGUGCCAGCCGCCGCGGUAC